UACGGAGGGUGCAAGCGUUAUUCGGAUUCACUGGGUUUAAAGGGUGCGUAGGCGGGCUUGUAAGUCAGUGGUGAAAUCUCCGGGCUCAACUCGGAAACUGCCAUUGAUACUAUAAGUCUUGAAUUAUCUGGAGGUAAGCGGAAUAUGUCAUGUAGCGGUGAAAUGCUUAGAUAUGACAUAGAACACCCAUUGCGAAGGCAGCUUACUACGGGUAUAUUGACGCUGAGGCACGAAAGCGUGGGGAGCAAACAGG
rnacentral:rRNA from 1 species